ensembl:lncRNA
GUGGGGUCUGCUCAUCCCAGCGUCCACACACCUUGCGUGCAGCACGCGGGCAGCAUCAGCAGAAGCCCAACCAUGGCAGUAUUCGUUAAUGGAUGUGCAGCAUGCUGCAGCUUCUGUCAUUCUGGGCUGAGUGAAGUGGAGUGUUCAUUUCACUGAGUUUGAAAUAAGUGGAAAACAUGGACCUGUUGGAUGUGGGAUUAUGUUGAAACAGUACAGCAGGAGUCCAAAUGGGAGAGGAAAUCUGUGCACAACCAGUGCCACCACGAGAUAAAUAAGCAGCAGGAACCAGGAGGAGGAGGAUCUGAGGAGCUGUGACCUUGCAUUGCUCUUGCUCUACAUGGCCAACUGCCUGAACUGAACGUAUACCCUUGUAACUCCGGAAUCUGAUUCAAGGGAAGAACUGCUCUUGGUGCCUGCAACCAGUGGUAGAUACAUUGUGACAUGACUGAUUUGCAGCAGGAGUAACCAGGGGCCUAACAAAAGCCUUAACGGAAAACCACCCAAAGGUAAGUUCUUCAUA